UUUUUUUUUUCUUUUUUUUUACCAUCAAGCUUUUACUAUUAGCUUUUAGGUACUCCAGAGAAGUGUCCUCCCUUGCUAGCUAUGUUCUGCUCUAAAUAUGAGAUUGCUGAAUAUUUUUCUAAUAUUGAAUCUAUGUGUGAUAGAGCUUUUAUGCAUAUUCCUUUUAGUGUUUUGUUUUCUCAACCUGAAUGAAAGAACAUAAUAAAUUUUUAGAAGUUCUGAUUAAGUGAAUCAAAGGAUUUAAGAGUUUUUUUCCUGAUUUUAAAUGCUUUUCCAAAUGUUGAGCUUAAGUUCAAAAAAACAACCAUAUAGAUUCCUUCUACGCGUUUAAUUUUCUCAACUUGAAUGAUAGAAUGGUAAAAUACUGUCUAAGCAGGUGGAAGCCCUUUCUGCGCUGGUCAGUUUAGUCUCAGAUCAAGUUGGAGCCCGAACAGUUGUUGAUGUUGGUGCUGGACAGGUGUGCCCCUUCUACUUUGUACAAUAUCAGGCUUGCUCCUAUGCAAUUCAUAUAUUCUGCCUCUUCUGGUGUGGAUACAUAUAUGUCUGUAUCUGUAUCUGCAUAUUAGGACUAUUAUAACUUACAAAUUUAUUUAUCUUAAUUCAUUUUUUUAGGACGAGUCAAUACAUAGGUAGACUCUACAUGACAAAGGACUUUUGUGUUAGUUGUAUAUAGGGCUAGUUAAUAUUUUUUAAAUAUUUUUUAAAUAUUUUUUUGUGUCAAUUCCAUGGUUAAUAAUUUGACCAUCAGACAGCUUUAAGGUACAAUUAUGGGCUUGAAAAAAAAUCUAUAACUUUUUCUAGUAAAUUCUUAAUCGAAUAACAAUUAUGCUACACUCCAAAGCAAUUUGGCGUCAGGUUGAAGUUUCAUUCUUCAUGUCGCUCCAUUUAAGCUCAACUCAUUCAAGUAUUAUACCAAACAGAAUUGAAGUUGUAAUAAUUCUGAACUGAACUUCACUUCAGCUGAAAACUAAAUGACUUGCGAACCUUUUCUACUGGAGUAACCUUCACAUUGCCAAUAGUUUCUAUGAAUGUUUUGACUUCGUUAAUUUGGUAGAAUGCAUACAGGAAGGUUCAUUGUGAAAGAGCUAACUCAUGUUUUGUCCACUGAUGUAAUUUUCAGCAUCUACUGGAUGCAAUAUCAAUGAAAUUUUGAGCUUACCUGAUCAAAAUAACAAAAAGAAAUAUCAUAGUAUUUUUGAUUGUAGAGAAAUAACCAUCUGGGUUAUCUGGUAUUCUUGUUUUCUGCUCCUACUUAGGCUGUUUAUGACUUUAUGUGGUGUAGGGUUAUCUUGCACAAGUUCUUGCAUUUGACUACCAGCUUUCUGUAAUUGCGAUUGAUGCUUGUGCACAUCACGGCAAGAUAACUGAUGCACGUGCAGAGAGAAUCAAAAAACACUAUGUAUCUAAGAUGCAUAAAAAUUGGUAGGUAGUCUCAGAACGCGUACUUGUCGAAAUUAUCAUAUAUAUGAAGCACAUAUUCCUUAUGCUAAUGAAAUCAUUAUAUGAAAUAGGUUAUAAUUAACCUAUAUAACACUGAAAAAGUGGUCUGAAAAUGUUGGCCGUAAAUUGAAAGUUAAGGACUAUAUCUGACUUGUUUUAUGUUUGGUUAAGAAGAAAUGAAACUAAACUGGAUAUAGUUAAGAGUCUUGCAUUGCGUUGAGGGAGAGGGAGUUAAACUUCUGUUUUUCCUCAGAGAGGGAAAUAAACUUUUUAACUGCUACAACUUGAGUUAUUGGUUGAACUUUACACAAUAAAUAACAAUGGUGAGCAGUAAUUUCCACCUCCUCAUUACUCACCUUAUUUUCGGGCAUCCAAAGGAACCUAGGUUGAGUCUAAUAUUACUGCCUUAGCCUUUCUAAAGAGAUUAAUGAACAGUAACGGAUGAAAUUCUUUUUAUUAUGUACACUGGUUGGGGCGUUUUGAAAAGCUGAUGUAUUGCAGAAACUUGGUAGCAUUCAUUGUCCAGUUGACAAAAAUAUGCCUCUGCUUCAUUGUUCUACGUCAAUCUGAUUCAUGGUUACAUUUAGUUGGCAUCAGUAUUUUGUGUCAUUUUAUUGAAUGGUCUUCCUCUUUCAGAAUGCUUCUCCGUAAUCCAUUUCCCUUUUUCCAGCACCAAACAGAGAGAGUUUAGUGUGCCAAAGACAGUGACAUGCCGAGUGCUGUCUUCUGAUACACUGAAGGCCUUGAGUAACUCCCCAGCAGAGAAUGACCUUACAGGGAAUCAACAUUUGAGCCAAAACUGUUCAGUGUCUCAGCCAUCUCGACUUGCUGAGGAUAUACUACCUUCUCUGUCUUAUAGUGAUUCUACUUUGGUUAUUGCUGGACUUCAUGCUUGUGGAGACCUCUCAGUGACAAUGUUGAGGUGGGUACCAUAUUGUAUAAUUGUGCUGCUUUCUAAGUAUCAUGAGGUGGUACUGAAUUACUAAAGGCCUCUAGGCCACCAUGAAUGUUCAUGGGCUAUUCCAUUUGUCUGAAUGGUUAGUGGUGUUCGACUUGCAUUCUUUAUUGCAAAAAAUAAUGGUUAGUGGUGUUCGACUGCAUUCUUUAUUGCAUAAAAUACUAUGUCCAGAAAGACGGAUAUCCCAUGUCUAUUCUCCUUUGUCAUUCUAAGACCUUAAAAUAACAUUUGGAAUAAGUUCUGGGUUUUAUGUUUCCAUCAUAUUAAGUAUUAUAUUUUGAGAAGCUUUAUGUGAAUAAUUCUUACUAAAUGCCUUAUUCUUAUCUUAGUUUGCUUUAGGGGAUCGUUUUAGGUUAUGAUAGUCCCUCCUGAUUUGAUAUUUGUGGGAUGUGUGACUCAAUAUUUCUUAUAAUUAAGGACAUUCUUGGAAUGUGACAAAGCUAAGGCAGUGAUUAGCAUUGGUUGCUGUUAUAACUUGCUUUCUGAGGAAGCCACUGGCAUAGCAGAUUCUUCUUGUGGUUUUCCUGUUAGUCAAGGUGUUAAAUUUGCUGGAGUAAUGCUUGACAAAAGUGCUCGUGAUCUAGCUUGUCAGGUAGAUGAGUAUUAUACUAUUCUUUGUUGGCUCUUGCUGGUAGAACUUGCUUGAAUUAACAGUUCAAAUUCAUUGCAUCUCGAAAGCUGCCUACCUUUUCACUAUAAUUGUAUUCUGAUCUUGAGUUGCUUUAUCAGAGUGCUGAUAGAUGGAGAGGCUUGGGUGAGCAUGCAGGGCUUCAUAACUUUGAGUUGCAUGCAUUCCGUGCUGCUUUCCAGAUGGUACGUGCUGUUUAUUUUGCUCAACUAUUUAAAUUGGUUUCAUUGGGCUUAUCCAUAAGUCCUUUCAUUGAAACAUUUUGCCAAUAGUAGCAGUGGUUUUAAUGUGUGCUUAGUCUGUGCAAUAGCCUGCUAACCUGCAUUUAUUGUAAAGGUUCUCUUCAGACAUUAUCCGAACAUAUUGCUAGAAAGCCCGACAAUAGGGCGUCAAGGGAAAGCCUUACGACGCCAACAGAAUCAGAGGAUCCUGGAGUCUAAUUUGCAUCAUGGGGGCCCUUCAGAAUUUGGUGAGUACUUGUAAAGGAUACCAUUGAUCAAUUUCAUUAGGAUUCAAGGUAAAGCCAUAUAAGGUAUAUCUCGUACUAAUUUCUGAAUAACUUAUUCAUCAGAAUGUAUGUCAAAUAUCUAUUCAUAAGAUGUGUCAUAUAUUCUUGACUAGCUUAGUAGAUUUCAUCAUUUUAUGCAACUGUACACAUGUUAUUGUCACGCGUCAAAUCUGGAAGGAUGCAACCGGCGCGCGAUGCAUUAAACUUCCAUUGAGUGAACCAAACCUAACAUGACAUACUGGAAUGCAUUCCAUGCAUGUAUAAGAAACAUAAACAACUUGAUAACAUUUCUUUAAGAUAUAAACAUGACAUCAUUCGCCUAAACAAUUGAAAUAACAUAAGUGUCAUUUAUACACCCAAGUGUCGUAGCUUAACUGUGAAGGCUACCUAUUACGAAUAUAGCUCUUAAGCGCUUUCUAUGCAGGUGAACCGCGGGAGGGUGUGGCGUUUCAUCAUGAAUACUCUUCUAUUCAGAAUUCUAAAAGCAGUGAGUCUAGAGCUGUGGACAGAUACUCACUAUUUGUAAAAUUUUGUGAGUCUGGAUUAGAUCGCCUACAUCUCCCUCAUUUGGGGGAUACAGCUUACAGUGCAGUCUGGAGGGAGUCUGAAUCAUAUGCUGUAAGUAGAUCUUUGAUGAUAUUAUUAUUUAUAGUUUCUUAAAAAAUCUCUUUGGAGCAUUAUUAUUUGUCUUCUGUAUCUAAAAACUGUUAGUGGUAAAUCUAUGCAAAUGCAAUUUUGGAGAUCUUGUCAAACUCUGUUCUCAUUUUCUUAUCUGUCACUCGAAGUGCUUCUAUGUCCUACUCUCAUAAUUUGGAUGUCUGUUUUCUUUUUUGAUUUGUUGAUGAGCUAAUCUUGUCAUUUCAAUGCAAUUUUCAUUUCCCCCCUUAGUUGUUGCAUGAUCUAAGCUUCAUUUUGCUUCUAUGAAUAAUAUGAUCCUUUGCUUACUCUUGAAAUAGUCUCCUACCAAAGAAAAAUUUCUCCGAAGGUGGAUGUCCUCCUAUUUGAUCUGUGGUUGAGUCAAUGCUAAAGACAUGCAAAAGUUGCAAGGAUAUUUUAUCAGUAAAAUACGUAGUAAGAGUAAUGAUACUAUUCUCUUUCACUAAGUAUAUGGCAAAUAGUUUUUUGGCAUCUCCAGGUAGGUCUUUGUUCUUCACCCACAAACCAAUUUUUUUGGGGUAGUUAGCAAAGUGAUUUGCCGACUGCAUAGUGUAAGAUGACUAAGCUGGCUCUCUUUCCUUUACCUUUUAAGAGGAUAUUACAAAAAACAGUAUCUUAUCUCUGCUUUCGUUUGAUUUUCAGUUGGCCAAGAAUUGAUGCAUAAUUUAUUGAAAAGGUCUUCAAUUUGCGUAAUUUGAAAGUCAUUGGUUUGCCCAAAUGAUAUUGCCUCUUGAAGAUUAUAGUUGGAUGAUUUAAGUGAUCAAGAUAUUUCUUCUCAGCAUCUAUUAAAUUGAUGUGAUUCUAAAAGGUCAAAAGUAUCUUCAUAAGCUGAAGUUCCACAAUAUUGUGGCCUCAUUGUAUAUUAGUUGAUCUAGUAGCUCCUCAUUGUAUAUUAGUUGAUCUAGUAGCUUUCUCUUAAGAAUGGGGAUCUGUUGGUUGUACAGUAUGUAUGGCAUCAUUGUUCUGUCAGAUUCUUGGGACUCGGGAGUUUCUCUUGCCGAAAUAGUAUAGAGAUGUCUGUUCUUUCUUAUAUUCUUUUUGGGGCCUGAUAAAUAACAUAAAAGAAGAUUUUUUUUUUUUUUUGGAAAAAAACAAGAAUCUUUUCCUUCUCUGAUAAAGUAAUCAACUUUCUGCAGGAGUUAAUAGGGCCUUAUUGGUCUCUUCGUGCUGCCCUGGGUCCCGUUUUGGAAACUCUUAUACUGCUUGACCGGUUAUUGCUCCUCCAAGAGUAUGGGAAUGAUCUGGAAGCGAGACUCUUACCGAUAUUUAAUCCUGUAUUAUCUCCGCGGAAUAUGGCUAUCAUAGCUAAGAAAAUUAGAAAUUAGAAAAAUCUUCCCAAGUCCCCCAAAAUGUGAUUCAACAUACCGUGUAGCUAUUGACAGGGUCCUCGUGAAAGGAACUAUUUACAUGGGCGUCUUUGUGGUGAAGCUUUAUUAUAUUUCUCUUCACUUCCUUCAGUAGCGUGAAUAGACUUGAUGUUGGUGAACAUUGGUGAAUGAUAAUAUCUAAUUGUCUUUCUUGUUUAUUUAUUUACUUGUAGAUAUUUAUUUGCAAGGUGUUGGCUGAGUGAUUCUCUUUGCACAUUUGUUCUCAAGUUGUCUACUGCUGUCUUUUAUCUAUCGAACAUAUUGCUAACGUAGAUGUUUAUUGGUUUCAAAUUCUGACCGCUCUGUAUUCUUAUGAUUAUCUUAUUGACCUUUAUUCACUUGGGAUAUAUAUGAUUUUAUGAGAAACUGUCCUUGUUUUAACAAGUUGAGUACUAUAAUAUAAGCUAGACGGUUGUGUCCACUUUCCUAUGAAGUAUUCAAGGAGAAUAUAUAAAUGAUACGCGAUGACAUGAACUCUAGGCUACUUACACAUUGAUUACAUUUUAUAUUUAUAUGUUAUUCUUGUUUCCUUAAUGUGAUGUCAAGUUCCUUGCAGGUAAACUCAUUCUUAUAAUAGUAAAAAUAAAUGUCAGGUUUGUGUGCUGGCCUUUUCAAUCUCCUCUUUUUUAUUUAUUUGUACUGUGUACAUAUUUCUGUUGAUAGUCCGCCCAUAGCGGGAGCUUUUCGUGCAUCGGGCUGCCUUUUUAUUCUAUGUAAAGGCUGAAGUUGAAGCUUAAUUCUUAAGUUUAGUUAUGAGCAAUUUGGGAUAAGAUUACUUUGACUAAGUGCAUUAUUUAUCAUGAUUGCCGGUGCUAAACAGAAUGUAGUGCAGGCUUACUCGCUGGAGAAAAUGACUUGCAGUAUCUUUAAAGAGUACUUUCUGUGGAUAUUGGGGAGUUGCAUCAAGUGUACAUAUUUGCAAAAGUAAGAAGGUACCAUUGCUUACUCCUUUCUGCUUUUUAAAUAUUUUUUCAUAGACUAAUAUGUAUGUGUGGCAACAACAUGCUCAGUAUAAUCCCACAAGUGGGGGUCUGGGGAGAAUAGGAUAAGAUGUACCCAGAUCGUACCUCUACCUUUGUGAGGUAGAGAGGUUUCCGAUAGACCCUCGGCUCAAAAGGAAAGUAUCUGACACAGGAUAGUAGGAACUAAUACGUAUGUGUAGGAAGUGGUAAUUUUAAACUGAGUUGAAUACACCAAUGAUUAUGUUUGCUUAAUCUUUGGUUAGUACUCUGCCAAACCGAUGCAUGCACACAAAAGUCUUCUGGACUUGCGUAUGUGUAAUGAUGCUGGAAUGAUGGAGACAGGCCUAAUUGUAUAUUUAUCUAUAAACCUAACAAUUCUCUCUCAUUUUCAAAUUCUCCCUUCCGUUUCCUAAUAUUAUUAGGAAAUCCAACCUCAAUCCAGGGUUGGUUAGAAUCCUUUGACAUAUUCCCACUGAACUUUAUACUGUUAAACAAUUUUCCUUAUUUUGCGUUAAAUAAAAAUAAAAAUAUUCUUACAUUUUAUGGGUUGCUUUCUUCUUUUCAACUACAACUUUGUUCACUAACCGAACAAGCUCUCCCUCGAACUAAGUUCCACGUGACCCAUCACCUAUGAGCUUAACCAGAUACUAACCGGAUCUCACCUUCAUCAUAUGUAUCUAUGGCCAUUAAAGUCCAUAAGCUUCUUUUUAUGUGUAUGUGUCUUCAAGUUAUGGGUAAAGAUAGUCCAUUGGCUCUGAUAUUAGGUGUUAUGCUAAAUCAACUUAAAGAUACUCUUAAUUAACAUGGUAUGAUAUGGUCCCCUUCGAGCUAAGUUCGCACCGUUUAUCCAAAAGAACUUCACACCAAUCGGAAUAUUAAGUUCCAAGGACUUUAUUCACACAUGGACCAAUAACUUUGAUCUGUUUGAUCCCGAUGGGUCAUUUUGAGUUCAAUUCAUUAGAUCAAAUCAACAAGCAUACCAUAAUCAACUCAUUGAAACUUGAACAGGCUAAACAAAUCUCUAAAAAGAUGAAUUAAAUCUUGUCACCUCCACCUCAAAUUACAUACUAUCCAUAUAGUUUUUUUUUUUCUACCUAGAGAGGAUAGAAGUCAAAACAGGUUAUUGGUUCAAGCAGUGGAAAUAUUCCUUCGUAAAAUUGUAAGAUAAGAAUGUGAACGAUAAAUUUUUAUGCUUCAGCUCUUCUAUAGACCCCACACUCUUUUAUAGGUCCCGUGCAUACCGAAAGCUUCAGUGGACCGGCUUUUUCCUUUUGAGGAUAGAAUUCAAAGGUCCAAUAUUAAGUGCCCCGUGCUCGCCGUCAUAAGCAUUAAAUCUCAGGAGACUUAUGAUUUAGACAUAUGAAGAAAAAUGGGGCUAACAGGUGUAUGCUUUUGGAGUGGACACACGUGAAGGUUUGAAUAAACAUUUGUCGUUUAGGACACUUGGUAUUUCAUUAGUAGGUGGUACAAACCAGAUAUUAGUUAGCAAGAAUGACAUUCAAAUUCCCACUACCAAAGAUAAUAGUGGUUACUAUUUAAAACUCGAUUACUGAAUAUGUUGCUAUCAGACGAAAAGGCAAGUAUUCAAACAAUUCAAGGAAUUUGGUAUAAAAUACAAAAACAUGCAUUUCCAAACUUUAAACACUUAUUGAACUCUUGUGUAGCUGGAUGAAAAUGGCUUGAAUCUUAUCAGCCGUUUGUUUAUCAAGUUUUUCUAGAAUCCUUCUAAUAAACAAUUAAAUAUUGCGGCUUUAAACUUAAAAAAAAAAUGGAAUUAAAUAUGAACUUCAUCACUUCUUUUUCCCUAUGUAAUAUAUAGGCAAUCAUCGUUAAAGGUGCUAUACGAAGAUAGAAACUCUAAUGGAUCGCCAUUUGAAGCUUAUGGGUACCUAGUUCCUACAUUAUCUCAUCGCUAAUUCGUCGUUAAUCCAAAAUAGAAUUACCGAUGGGUUUUAUUGUAUAACUAUAAUAGAAUUUAUUCGUCGCUAAUUCUUUCCUUUUUUUUUUUUUUUUUUUUAAAGUAGUGAACGGUCUUCUGUUUUUCUUUAAACCCCUCCUAGGAGCUGUCUCCUUUUUUGCUUUUCUUGAUAACUCGAACUCACAAUCUUAGAAUUGAAAAUGAGAAGUGUUUACCGUUCAAACAGCUUCUCUCUUGUUGUGAAUGGUCGUUAGAUUUCGGGAGUUUGGAUUAGCUAGGCUUCGACAGUCUCGAGUCAUCUGAUAAUUAAAGCUUUGUUAUAUAGUUAUUGUCAUAAUGUCAUGUUAAUCUUUCAUUUAGAUAUUUAUGACCAUCAUUUCCAUGAAGCCAUUUUCUUUUCGAGGCUGAGUGUUUCAUAAGCAACUCUUUUUUAAGAAAGGAACAUUAAUUUUUUGACUUUUCAUAGAAAAUUCAAGACGAGGACGUAUUCAACACUAUUAUAAACAGAACUUUCUACCAAAUCUAAUUACUAUGGAACUCUGACCAGAAAAAAGUAUAAGAAAAGAAGAUAAUUGCUGAAGUUUAUGAACAACUAGUUAUUAUGAUUUGAGUCUUAGCUAAAUGGAGCUCGGGGUCUAUCGAAAAUAGACUCUCGACUUUAUCUGUGGUAGUGGUAUGAACUACAUAAUAUAACCCCCCCCCCCCCCCCAUCCGCCAUGAGAAUAUACUGGGUAUAUUGUUUUCUUCGUUUUAGGUAAAUGAGACUUGAAGUUGUGUUAUUGAAGGCCUCAAAAUCUUCUUCUCUAUGAUUAUUAUAUUUUGUCCAUAGGGGAUUUCAAUUUCCUAAGAUGAAGAUUGACACAAUAUUAAUUUCUUACAUAUGAAGAGUGACACGAUCUAAUUGGUUAUCGUCUAGAUUAGUUGGUAUCCAUAGGCGAAUUCAAAAUUUAGUUUUUAGGGGUCGUUUGGUAUGAGGUAUAUAAGAUUAUUUUAUCUCAUGUUUGAUCAGAGGUAUUAGUUAGUCCGAAAUUACUUACCCCGGGAUAACUUGUUCCCAAUCAUUUAGUUUUUCCUCUAGAUUAGUUGACAUACAUAAGCCAAUUUAAAAUUUAAUUUCUUACAUAUGAAAACUAUCACGAUCUAAUUGGUUAAUUUAAUUUCCUAUAAAUGAAAUUGGCACGAUCCGAUUAGUCAUCCUCUAAAUUAGCUUGCAUGCAGAGAUAAAUUCAAAAUUUAAAUUUGAUAUGUUCAAUAACAUUUGAGACUAUUAGCUUGAACACAUUUUAUUUAUGAAAUUAUGGAUUCAAAAUGUUAAAUCGGGGUCUAUCGAAAACAAUCUUCUACUUCUCCUGAGGUAGUGGUAUGAACUGCAUAUAUUUUAUGCUCCCCAGAUCCCACUACGUGGGAAUAUAUUGGAUUUGUUCUUGUUGUAUAGAUUCAAAAUGUACUAUUUUUUAUUAUAUGCUCCAUUCGCCCUUGGGACUCACUUUUUCACUUAUACAAAGUAAUGUCCUAUAAUCUAUCUAUCAUAAGCUUUCUUUAAAAUAUUUUUUAAUAAAAUAAAUUUAAUUCGAUUAGAGAAGUGGAUUGAUUCAAUAAUUGCUCAUGUUAUUCACAAUCAUAAAGUAAGAAUAUUAUUGUGUGGCUGCUAUAAUAAUCUUUGAAACUAAGGCAACAUUUUCUGUUAGGAAGAAGGGACGGCCCGUCUAUAUAUAUAUAUAUAUGUCUAGUUACUCCUCCGUCUCAAAUUGAGAUGACACAUUGAUUGAGAAAAAUAAUUAAUAACAUGCCUAAUUUAUCAUUGUACCCCUAUUAAAUAAUGUCUACAUUGUAAUUUGAAAAAAAAAAAAGAAGUAAUUAAUGCAAAGGAUAAAACAUGAACAAAAAAAAAUGUCUCUUCUUGAUUAAUAAAAAAGGACAAGUAAAAUGAAAAAUCAAAUUAGAAAAUUUGGGACGGGUAAUUUGAGACGGAGGGAGUAUCAAAAGUCUCAUGAAUGAAAGUCCAAACAGGAUUUAAGUGAUACAUUUGAUAGUAUAAAAAUUCUUUUAUAUUGUCUAUGAACUAAAAUAUGGUAAGUGAGUCAGUUAUUAUUUCUAUCAGACCUUCUGUCAUAAUUUAUGUGGUAUAUUUGACUAUAAUAUACCAAGCUAAGAUGCUUGUGAUUUAAAACUAGUCAUCAUAUACAAUUUAAGUGGUUAUUCAUCAUAUCAUUAAGGAAAAAAUAAUAGAAUUUUAAAGUUAAUUUAAGUCUAAAUAAGAAAGCAUAACAUUCUUUGUAAGACAUACUAGAAAGAGAUGUACGAGUAUAUGAUAUAUAAAUUGAGAUGGAGACAAUAAUACUUAUUAAGAAAUUUAUCUAUAAUUACGUAACAAGUGAUCUGGUUAUAUAAAUAGUUUUUAGUUACCGACAAUGCCUUAAAAAUUAAACUCAUCAUUCCAAAUAUUGGAUAGUAUGGUCUUUAUUGCUAGCUUAGUCAUAAUGUUUUGAUGGUCAAUCAUUUUCAUUAUCUUAUCUUUCCUUCUUAUAAUUUCCUUUUUAGGGUUAUUAUUUUGGAUAUAAUUUAACCUUUAGAGUGUGGCUAUUAUUGUGUUUAUUAGCCAAGGGACCCUUCUGAAGUGUGGCCAUAAUUUUUUUUAAAAUAAUAGUUAAACGAUUAACCUGCCUCUUAUUUAAAUCAUAAAAAAUUGCCAAAUUAAGUGUAUUCAAUAAUCAAUACCAAUUUGACUAGAUUCCUUUCUUUUCAGGCCACGUGGACAAUUUUUUAUUUAUUUAUUGGAAAACCAUAUUUUUCUUUUUAUCUUAAUUAUGUCCAUAAAUCAUUAUCUUAAACCAAAAGAACUUACCUUACUGUAAAAAUUAAUGCUUAUCCAAUACCUAAACACAUUCUGUCAUUAUAUAAUUCAUUCAAUUCAAGAUAUUGUAGAGCCUAGAGGGCAUAACAAAGUCCUCCAUCGAAAAUCUCUCUCUAUAUAUAUAUAUUCAUCUCUCUUCCUAGAGUCUUUGGUAAUUUAUUAAAUAAUUUAGCUUCUAAAAUCUGAUCAAAUGAGUUCCCACUAAUUAUACAAUAAUAAAAGUAACCAUUUAGAGAUUCUUUAAUCGAUGACCUAUAUAUUUCUUUUCUAUUUCUAUAGAAGAGGUGGUUUGGUCAUGGAAUGAAAAUGCCGUAACAAAUUUAUCUAAGGGUAAUUUGGUCAUUCAUUUCAAGUUCUAAGCUCAAAUUGAUAGUUUUUUGUGCUUUAUUUUUGAACCUUAUGAAAAAUUUUAAUAAAAGCCCAUUCUUUUCUUUUUAAUUACCAAUAAUGCUAAGUAUAAAAUUUACCAUAAUGUCAUCACAUGCCUUACAUAUGUUUCCACACACAUGGACCCUAUAUCUUUCAUUUAUUUUUCAUUUUUAUUUAUCUUUUUAUUAUAUGAAAUUGUUUCAAAUAUAUUAUAUUUAAGUAAAUUGAUUAGUGAGAUGAUAAUUUAUUGUAAAAAUUAAUUAGUGAUACAAUUAAAUAAAUUUUAUUCUUUAUUUAAUUUCAUAUCAAAUAUAUGAUUUACUUUCUUUCUUAUUUACUAUAAUUUCACCUAAUUUUUUUUUUCUAAUAUAGAAGAGAAAAUUCUGAUAUGUCUUCUUAUGUUGUCUGUUUCAAUUGCUUCAAUCGUGAUUUUAUUACAUUGCCCCUAAUUAAUUAUUAUAAGGCAUUUAUAUAUUAAAAAAAUAAUAAUAUUUUUUUUUUUUAAAAUAGACAUUUAUGACAUGUCUAUUUCAGUUGCUUAAAUCGUAAUUUUACUUUCUAUUAUAUCAUUUUUCAUUAAUUAUUAUAAAUUAUUUAUAUAUUAAAAAUAAUAAUAUUUGAUAAAAAAAAGGUAAAAUAGACAUUUAUGACAUGUCUGUUUCAACUACUUUAAUCGUAAUUUUACUAAAUAUCAACCCUAAUUAAUUAUUAGAAGUCAUCUAAGUAUUUAAAGUAGCUCUCCAUCGACCUGUCGGCUUCAGCUGUUUGCUCCAUGAUUUUACUAUAUCAUUCCUAAGUAAUUAUUAUAAAUCAUUUACAUAAUAAAAAAUUAAUAAUAUCUAAUAAAAUAAUAAAAUAGACAUUUAUGAUACGUUUGCUUCAGCUGCUUUAAUUAUAAUUUUACUAACUAUCACCUCUAAUUAAUUAUUAUAAGACAUCUAAGUAUAAAUACAUAAUCAAUAUUUAACUAAAAGGAUAAAAUAGAUAUAAAAUGAUAAGUUAACUCUUGAUGUUUUAAAAUAACUUGACGUCUUAUAUAAGAUUUCACUUACUUUUUUUUCACAAGUAUCUUUUAUAGUUAUUUUAUUAUAUCAUUUUUAAUUAGUUGUUGUGAGUUAUUUAAGACAUGUUUAUUUCACUGCUUCAAUCGUGAUUUUACUAUAUCACCUCUUAUUAAUUAUUAUGGUCAUCUAAGCAUCAUGUCACUUAAAUUAUAGUAGAAAAAGUUUUACACAAUAAUUAAAAAUUUAAAUUAUUUAAAAAAUAUAAUUGACUAUCAGUGACACAAGACUCUGGACAAGGAGUGUAGCCUAUUUUUUUUAAAAAAUUACAUAAAAAAAUAUUAUAAAUUACAAUAAUUAAAAACUUGAAAUAUCUAUAAAUAAUUUAAUAUAUUAUAUAUUUUUAAAAAAUACAAUAAAUCACAAUAAUUAACAACUUCAAAAAAUUAAAUGAUAUAAAUAUUUGGUUGACUCUCGAAAUUAUAUCAGUGUCACUUAAAUUGAAAUAGAAGAAAAAUAAUAUAAAUCACAAUAAUUAAUAAUUUAAAUUAUUUUAAAAAUACAAUUGACUAUCAAUGCCACAAAAAUUUGAAUAGAGAGAGUAACAUAUAUUAUUUAAAAAUUACACAAAAAUAUUAUAGGUUACAAUAUUAACAACUUAAAUAUCUAAAAACAUACUAAAAGGAUGAUUGAUUAUCUAAAUUCAAUUUGUUUAAAAAAAAUUGAAACAAAAAAACAUAUAUUGAACUCAUGCUAGAUUCCGGAUGAAUUUUAGGAUGUAUAUGCAAUCCAUCUUUUUUUUUUUUUAACUUUUGUUUAAAUAUAUCAAAAUUGAAAAAUGCAAGUUCCAAUGCAGUACAUCAAACAAUGUAUAAGAAAUAAUAUUAGUAUAAAUAAUACAAAUAUUACUAAUACAAGCAUUAUUAGUGCCAACAUUAUUAAUACAUUCUAUCGGCAUUAUUUUUGUACACUCUAACAAACGACUCUACGUUUUAAUAGAAAGAACAUAUACAAAAAUAAAGUUCAAUAAAAUAUCUAUAUAAGUAUGUUUUAUCGUGUUCUCAAAGACAAAUAAUUUAAAUUAAUAUGAAAGAUGGUAACUUAUAAUUUUUUAUUUUAUAUAAUUUCUGAAACACUUAAAAUUUGAAUUUAAAAUAUUAAUUUAGUUUAACUUCAAAGAACAAGUUGACAAGUAAAAGAGAAGGAGAAAAUGAAAGCAAAUAAUGUCUAUGGCGACUUAGUAAGGGAAUACAAUGUGGUUAUUAAUUGCAAUCCACAUGUGAUGUAAUAUGCAAUGACUAGACAACUCUUUAUCUUUUUCAACAAUUAUUCUCUAUUUUAUACAACAAAUGUCAAGUCUUAUGUAUCAAUUUUAAUCUCAAAUUUUCUACUUAAUGUAGCAAAUCUCGACCAUAUGAUUAAAGAUAUAAACUUUUAAAUGCAUCGAAUUUUGUUUUUUAAAUGAGUAAGUUAUACAUAAUUAUCUUAUAAGACUUGGCUCCUUAAAAAAUACUACCACGUAGUUAAUAUAUUUUGUGUAUUCAUGUUUUAUAAUUCAUAAUUCGAACUAAUAUUAAUUUAAUUUACUAUAUAUAGUAAAAAUAACUUAACGUUGGCAACACGGGCCUUAUAUGUGUUGUGUGGGGUAGAUAUAAGAUAAUGAACAUAAAAUAGCUACUCUGCAAAGAUCUCUUGCGUAUAGUGUUCAUAUUUCUGAUACAUAAACAUAAAACUUUCUUCUAGAAUGACAUAAAAUUUAAAAUGUGUAUAUAUAAAGAAGCUAUAGAAUCAAUUGAUUAGGCUAGGGAAGAGUUGAAAAAACAUUCCCCACACGAGCAAAAGAAGAGUGCAAAUCUACACAACAAAGGAAUUUCACUUCUAUUGGAUAGUAUAAUAUAAAGUUUGGUAAUGUACCACACAUUAUGGAAUAUGGCUACUUUCUUUUUUGACUCUUUAGUGAAACUCCUCUUGUGAUCCCAAGCCCCAAAAUUAAUCAUUAUUGUCCUUUUGAAAAAGAUGGUCAAACUGUAGACAAAUUUAGAAUUGCCAAUGGCAAGAGGACUUACUAUUGAAGGUUAUAAAAUGAAGCAAAAUUGGAUCCAAUAAUCAUGUAGACUUUCAAAGUGAAAUUAAUGGGGCUAUAAAUACAAUAUGUUGUUAAUGGUGCCAAAAGAGGUCAGUCCAAAAACGUCAUGCGUCAUUUAAAUAGUGAAGUAUAGUAAGUGGGCCCUUUUGUUCUUUAAUAAUAUGAAAGAAACCUCUUUAACUCCAAAUGGUGGCUUAAAUCUGGUUCGGUGCCAACUCCCUCUUUGUCAAUUUUUUUUUUUUUUUGUUUUUCCAUUCAAUAUUCGAUACCCACAUUGGAGCCCGACUAAUUUAGAUUCAGGCCGUUUAGGGUCCCAUUCGGGAGAUAGCGCUUCCUACCUAGGACUUUUUCAUACUCAGGGCUCGAAUCCGAGACCUCUGAUUAAGAGAGGAGCAGCACCAUCCACUGCACCACAUCCUUUGGUGGUCCUCUUUGUCAUUUUUUACCCCACAAGGCCACUAUUUGUUUCCUACUCGAUGUUUGGUAUUCGAAAAAUAAUUUCUAUAUGCUUAAAUAUGAACUUCAGAUUCAUCUCAUCACAAUCUUUUAACUUGUCGAAGAGAUUAUCCAUGAUCAUAUGAUUCUAUAUUUUCAUUCGUUAAUCAAUGUGGGACAUCAAUAUCUUCUCAAUGAAAUGCAUUUUAUUCUAACUUGUCGAGGAGAUUGUUUAAGGUCAUAUAGAGAGUCCACAUAUAUAUCGAUGAUAUAGGACACCAACACCCUCCUCCCCCUUAACCCUUCUACGCAUAUUCAGAAGUGGACAUUUAAAGCUUGAACAAUAUAAGAUCGGGGAUCAAUAUAUAAAAUAACAUAUUAGGAAUGCGUUUGACUUUAAAAUGAAUAUUGGGUCUAACUAAAUCUCCAAAGUUAGUUCAGGAAAAGAUAAGAGUAAAGCAUUUAGUACCUCUGAACUAUAACCAAAUUUGCUACGACAUACUUUGAUUUCACGGCGUUUAUUACACCUGAACUUAAUUUUAACAUAUUUUUGUCAUCCUUUUUAGCUGUCAUGACACCUUUUGUCAGUCUUUUUAGCUAACAUGACACCUUUGAUGUGAGCAUUAUUUUUGUCAAUCCUUUUUAGCUAACAUGACACCUUUGAUGUGAGCAUUAUUUUAUGUAGUAUAGGUGUCAAGUCAGCAUAAAAGGGUGACAAAAAUAUGCUAAAAUUGAGUUCAGGGAUGAUAAGAUCCGGCAAAAAUAAACUAAAAAGUUUAGGAAUAUAGGACCCUUAUGAAGUUGAAAUGUGUCGUAUCAUCUUUGGCCAUAGUUCGAGAGUACUAAAUGUUUAUCUCAAAAGAUAACUAUCCAAAAUUAUAUAAAGAGUCCAUAUUUACAUCAACAUAAAUUGAAUUAUUUACCUUAUGCUAUUUUCUCAAUAUUAUCGAGCGGUAUUAAGAGAGACAUAAUCAAUGACAAGGUUAAAAAAUUCAAAUAAAGUAUUUUAUGUCGAGAGGAUUCAAUAGGUUGUGUAUAUGCUUAAAAGACUAUUUUGCUCUACUUACAUCGUAUUUCCUCUAUCCAACUUUACCUGUUUCUAAUAUAAAUAAAUAAAAUUGAACAUUUAUUUUAGACGAAAAAAUGGUUUUUUUUGGGAUGAUAUUUCCACAGUGGCAAAGAGUCAAAUCUAAAUUCCCAACAAGUAGGCAAUGACUGAGUUAUCAUUGAACACGUCAGCAAGUAAGCAACCAUUGGUGAGCCACGUCAUCAUCAUACGUGGGGCAAAAGAAUCACACGGAAUUAUUGGUUGACUUAACAACUUGAUUUUAUUUUUAGCCUAAAAAAUUAAAAUAAAUUAACAAAAGAAUGUAUUUUCCUACUAAUUACCUACUCAACAAAAAUAAUAAUACUUAUAAUAGGUCCUUAACAUAUAUUCUAAUUUAUAAUGACAUAUUCUUUUCCUUUUAGUAUAUUCUAAAAAUAUGGCACAUAAUAUUUUUACUAUAUGCAGGAAUAAAUUAGUUUGUCUAUAGCUCCUCAACCUUAAAGGUCGUCGUUAGAUGCUUUUUAUAUUUGUUUUUCUAACUUUAAGCUUUUUAUUCUAUUUUUAUAACAAGUUUUUAUUAGCUAGCAAUCUAAAUAUCACGACAUAUUUAGGUGUGUCAUAUAUGUAGCUUCAUUGGUAAGUUUUAUUAGAUGUGUGUGUAUUUCUAUUUUUUUUGUUUUUUCAUUAUUUAAUUUAUUCUUUUUCUUUUCUUUUUUUAAGUUUGGUAUCCAAUUAAAUAUUGUUAUAUAAAAUAGUAUUUUUUUAUCUUAAUUUAUGUGACAAUUUUUUUUUUUUAAUCCAUCUCAAAUUUAUAUACCAUUUUCUUUUUAGACCAUCUCAGAACAAGUCGUCUUAUUAUAAUUAGAAACAAUUUAAUUUUAUAACAUCAUAUUUACGCUUUAUGAAAUGAUUUAUAAUCACACAAAUAUCUUAAAGAUUGUACUUUAUUCGCUCACUUUUACUUGUCAUUGUUUCAUUUUUCGAGGACUACUUACAAUGAACUUUGACCAGCAUUGUAAUAGUCAUAAUUUAACAUUUUAAAUUUAAAAUUUAAAUGCUCGAAAACUAUAUGAAAAUUAUUAUAAGUUGUUAUCCUUGUCAUAUUAAUACUAUUUAAAAUGUAUCUUAAAAUAUUGGUUAAAGUUUAUGCUGUUGACCUUGAAAAACGAAGUAACGACAAGUAAAAGUAAAUAGGAGUAUAGACUGCAACUCUCAAAGCGUCUUUCUUUGUAUCAAGUGAAAUGAUGUCACGUAAAUUGAGACGGGGGAGUAAUAUUAACUACUAGUGCUUAUAUAUAGAAGAAGUAGAGUACCAUUUGGUGUUGUUAUAAGGAAAAUCUCAUCAUACCCUUAUAAUAUAUUAACCACCACCUCCUCCUCCUCAACAUAUACUUUCAUAGUCUUAAUAUAAUUCUCUUCUCUCUUUUCUUAUUUUUGUUUCUCUUCAAAAUGAGUAGUAACAGCAGUUUAAGCGUGGUGGAAUCAAAAUUACCACCAGGAUUUAGAUUCCAUCCAAGAGAUGAAGAACUUAUUUGUGAUUACUUAAUGAAGAAAAUUGAUCAAUCUCCAGACCAACAACAACAAUAUCCUUUUCUCAUCGAAGUUGACCUUAACAAAUCCGAACCCUGGGAAAUUCCUGGUACGUUCGUAUUUCCUACUUUAUUUCAUUCAUAUCUUAAACUAUUAAGGGUGUUUAAAUAAAAAUUUAAUUGAUCACAUACUUCUAUGUUUUUUCAUCCUCAUAAAGUGUAUUAUUGAUAAAGAGUCCUUGAUUUUUCAGCCACUAUGAUGGAGAUUUUUUAAUAUUAUUAAAAAAAAUCUGUAUGAUUUUUGGGGUUGUGAAGGAAGUGAUAGCUACCUAAUAGGUCUCAAGUUAUCAUGCAUAAAGUUUUGAUUUUUUUUUUUCUUUUUGUGGAUAAGAAUCUCAUAGAGCUAAUAAUUAUGAUUAGAGAUAAUUGGGAAAAUAUAAUUAAAUUGUCUUCUACCUAAGCAUUAACACUUAUUUGUUUGUUCACACUGCGUAUAUUGAACGCUCUCAAAAGUAUUUCCACAAUAUAGCUUGACUUUCUGUCUUAUAACCCAAAGUCUUUAAAUUGUCAAAAUAACUAACCACAUAACAUUUAUUAGCAUGUUCCUGCUGGCUGCUAAAACAACAUGGUAUUUUUUUUAUACGUACAUAAUAGAUGUUGAAUUUUCUUCGUAGGAAAAUUAUGCGAUCAUUAUGAAAUUCUGCUAUCGUCAUUGGUAUAACUAAUAAGUUUAUUAGCCGCAGUGGUGGAAUCGAGAUUUUAAUUGAGGGGUUUCAAAAGUGCAGACACAUACUAGACAUCUACUAUAUACAUUUGAAAAAAAUAAUUUUAACUAUGUAUAAAUAGUAUAAUUUUUCGUCGAGGGAUUCAUGUACAUGCUCCACCCAUGAUUAGCCGUUCGUAAAUUAAUAGAGGAGAAGCUAGGAAGGCCUAGGAGGUUCAUCCGAACCCAUUUUGAUUCAAGGGAAUAUUAAGUAAUGUUGAACCCAUUUAGGCUUCUUCGUGAUCUACUUUUUUAUAUUUUGAACCCCUCAGUAAAAAAUCUUGACUCCGUCGAUGAUUAACAAACUAAAACAUAUGAUCUAGACUCUAGAGACUAGAUCAAACACCCAUAUGUUACAAAUUCUGCUAUUGCAAGUUAAACCAUUUUCCAAAUAAUCACAAGGAAAAAGAAAAAGAAAUGAAUAAUAUUCUUAGAUAAAUCGAUGUUGCAUGUAUCUGUCUCAUCAAUAGGAUGACUUCCCUAUCUUUUUGGUUCUAUUUUACUUGCUGUAACUCACAAGUGGAAUCUGAGAAGCGUAGAAUAUCCAUAUAUCUUGUCUUUAUCUUUACAGAAUGGAGAGAUUGUUUCCAAUAUAAUUUCUAUAUAUGGAUAAUAAAUAAGUAUUUACAGAAUAUUAAUAGGUGAAUGAUAUAUACGAAUUAGUGGCCUCAUAAGAUUUCUCAUUCAAUUAACUUUUGUUGGAAUUGACAGUGUGGGCAUAUAAUUGUCUUCAACCAAAAGAUGGUGAAAGCGAUAGAGAUUAAUUAUAAUGAUCAAUUAAAAUUAAACACAUAUAUAACAUGUCAUAUCCCUUUUAAGUGAUUAAUCACCUAUAUAUCUGUUGGCUUGUGUCAACCACACGCGUGUACGUUUAUACUCCAAAUAAUAUUCGAUCAGUUUACAUGUAUCUCAAUUAAUCAUUGAGUAUUUGCUAUUUUUUACUAGUACAGGUACGAGAUAACGUUGUCUGAUACUUGUUCCUGGAGUAAAGCAUCUAGUACCCCUGAACUAUGAUCAAAUUCGCUACGACACAGUCCAACUUCAUGGGGGUCCUAUUACCCCCGAACUAAAUUUUAACAUAUUUUUGUCAUCCUUUUUAGUUGACGUGCUACCUUUCGUCAACCUUUUUAGUUGACGUGGCACCUUUGACGUGCGCUCUAUUUUAUGUAAUAAAGGUGCCACGUCAGCAUAAAAGGGUUAUAAAAAUACACUAAAAUUGAGUUCAAAGGGUAAUAGGAUUUCUGUGAAGUUGGAGUGUAUCGUAGCAACUUUGACUAUAGUUCGAGGGUAAUGGAUGCUUAUCUCGAAUGAAAUUAGUCGAGAUACAUAUGCUGGUAUUAAGAGAGAGCGAAUAUCGGUCCUAUGAGAUUCUAAAUCGAGCUAAUUCUGCCCACUAAAAGUGAUCGUACAGAUAAGAAAACAUCACCUAGUUAGUAAUUUUUGGCGUCAAAUUAAUUCCUUUAUUGUAAGAUAAGAAUAAUUCUUUCUUUUUACAUUACUGUUCCAACAGUAAUAACAUAUAUUGUGGUGCAUUGAACUUGAUUUCAACUAUCAACAUCUUUUACCUAAGCCAUUUGCAAAAAUAUGGCCCUCCAAUAAUUAAUUCUCUCUAUUUUAGGAUAGAGAUUUUACCACUUAAAUCCAUGCAUAAAAGUUACGUCGAUGGACAAAAUAGGUGAGUCAUGGUGGUGCCACAAUAAUACAUGGCCAUUUUUUCAAAACCAAAAUAGGUCCCCCUAUUCUUUUAUCAUCAUCAUCCUACUUGAAAAUAAUACUUGAAAUAGACAUAUUCCUUUUUUUCCUUUCAUUUUCUCAUCCUUUAAUUUUUUGUUUCUUAUGGUACACCCAAUCCUAUCUUCUUUUGAUAGUUCAUGAUGCAUGUCAUUAUGAAAUCAAACCAAAAAAAAAAAAAUCUUCUCAUCUCUAAAAGUUUAAAUUAUUAAAAAGAAAAUUUAGUAUGAAUGCCAAGAGACAAUUUAAGAGAGAUGCGAUAUUGAAUUAUUGCGCGACUGUCUUAUCCGAAAGUUUAAUUACUUAAUCAUAAUAUUCGCAACACUCUCCCUCAGCUAUGAAUUUAAACUUAUUACUACGAUUGCCUAGAACCAAUUAAUUAUCAGAUAUAUUGUGUGAUCGGCUUAGCGAAAAGAUUAAAGUGAUCAAAGCAAACACAAUUUUAAUUACUUAAUCAUAUGAUUGUCUAGAAAUAAUUUACACCAUAACUAUAUCAUGGUGAUCAAUUGUCUGAUCACCUUAUCUAAAAACUUAAAACUACAUAGAAAAAAACAUAAUUUUAGUUUCCUCGUAUGUGAUUCAACAACAUAAAUAUCAUGUUAAAUUCUAUGAAUAACGUUCAUAUAUACCAUGCAUAUUUACAGAAGUGGCCUGUGUUGGAGGGAAGGAGUGGUAUUUCUACAGCCAACGUGACCGUAAAUACGCGACGGGGCUCCGAACAAACAGAGCCACCGUCUCCGGUUACUGGAAAGCCACCGGAAAAGAUCGCGCCGUCGUCAGAAAAGGUAGCCUUGUUGGUAUGAGAAAAACCCUAGUUUUCUAUCAAGGAAGAGCCCCUAAAGGAAGAAAAAGUGAUUGGGUUAUGCAUGAAUUUCGUCUUGAAGGUCCCCUUAAUAAUAACAUUCGUCCUCAAAUUUCAUCUCCCAGGGUAAAUAUCUUCUCUCUCUCUCUCUAUAUAUAUAUAUGUAUGUAUGUAUGUAUGUAUGUAUGUAUACUAGCAUAAAUGGUUAAGUUGUUGCCACGUGUUCAAGCCUUGGAAACAGCCUCUGGCAGAAAUGCAAGGUAAGGCUGCGUACGAUACACCCUUGUAGUGGGGCCCUUCAUCGGACACCGCCCAUAGGACUGCCUUUUUCUUUUAUGUAUGUAUGUAUAUAUACUAGCAUAAAAUUUUAGUGUUAAUAAUCGAGUUCUGAAUUUGUGUAUUUGUACAUGCAUAGUGAUUGUUGACAUAGAUACAUGCAAGUUACUAGGUUUUGUCAAACUCACAAGCAGAAGCGGACCUAUAUAAAAUAAAAUAACAAGUAGAUAAAAGUAGUUUUCAGUUGAGAGAACUGUCCAUUCAUAUAUAGUUUUUUCUAAAUUUGAUUUGAGAAAUUGUGAAAUAAGCAAGAAAUUGUCGUUAUGCAAAAUACAAGUAUGUACCUGUACAUAAUAAAUGACAGUUCAUAUAUAUAUAUAUUUAUGGCCCAUGAUAAUGAAAUUUUGGCUUAAUUAUCUAAAUUAUCCUUUUCUUUUGGCCUACUUAUAUACAAUUGAUAAAUCUAAUCGCUAUAAGUGCGGUUAAGUUUUACUGGGAUUUUAUUUUUUAUAUUCAACUGUAACAUCAUUCGAAGUUUCUUCUAUCAUUUUAAGUUAUGACAAAUAUGUUUACUAGUUUAUCUUUAAAAAACUUUGUUAGUAGUUGACCAACUUACAACUACUACUUUUAUGCAAAAGAUUUCACUUUAGUGGAAUUGUAUAUUCACUAUAUAUAUAUAACAACAUUAAUAAAUUCAAUGUAAUUGCAUAAAUCGAGUCUAGAAAAAAUAGAAUAUACGUAAAUUUUACCUCUAUUUUUAUGAAAUAUAGAAAUUAUUUAAUUUCCAGUAUUCAACGCAAAAUAUUGUAAGGGGGUGCCGUUGACUAGAUAUAAACCUUAAAAUAUUAAUACGAAUUAUAUAUGGAAUAAGUCGUAGCUAGAAAAUAUAAUAGAACAUUAUAUUCUAAUUUGAUUCCUUGAAAUCUUUGAAAGAUAUGUAAACCAAUAUAUAUACUAUUAGUUAAUAAUGUCAAAUUUUGUGAGACACAUCUAGCACAAUUAUUGAGAUAUACAAUAUGUUAUUAAUCAGUGCUAUAAUGGUAAGAAAAUAUCUAAUGAUUCUUUCAUAAUCUAUGCUUAAUCAGAAUAAAUUCCAUAAUCAUUUAAUUAACAACACACCUAAUUACCUAAUCCCAUUGUCCUUUGAGCACGUCACGUUCUUUUAUAGAAAUAAACUUUUUCCCUUUUAACCUUUUAAAUUUUAUUUAUCUCAUAAAUCAUCAUUCAUUUAACACUUUAUACGUCUGUGAAAACUUUUUUUCUCGAUACUUAUGUUAAUAUACUUUGGUAGUGUACUUUUUUUUACUUUGUAAUUACAAUUUACACAACUAUGAUAUUAUAAAUUAUCAUUAUUAUUAUUUGUUGUCAUGUGACCAUAACUUACGUGUGUUGUCAUUUUUCAGGAGGAUUGGGUAUUAUGUCGAGUAUUCCACAAGAACAAAGAAUUACUUGCUGCCAAACAAGGAACUAGUAGCAACAACAUAUAUUACGAUGACGGUACAAUAAGUUCUUCAUCUCUACCACAAUUAAUGGAAAAUCCUUACAUCACUUUUGACCAAACACAACCUAACAACAACAAUAUUAAUAUGAAUGAAUUAUAUUAUGAGCAAGUGCCCUGCUUCUCCAUUUUCACCCCUAACCAAACUACUUUCACCUCCCACAGCCACCACCACCACCACCCCGCUACCUCUACCACCACCGGAGCCACCCCGAUCACCACCGCGUACGGUGGUUUUCCGGCUGAUAUUGGAAAUUACCUAAAUGCCACUGCAACAUCGUCUACGUGUGAUAACAAAGUAAUUAAAGCUGUUUUAAGUCAUUUGAGUACCAAGAAUAUUAUAAUGGAAGGUAAUAAUAAUAAUAAUAAUAAUAAUAGUAAUUUCAAUAAUAGUUCUACCCAAAAUAUCAUGAAUAUAAAAGGAGGAAAUUCACCUAGCUUUGGUGAAGUAAGUUCUGAAACUAGUUUCUUAUCUGAGGUGGCCUAUCAUCCUACAAUGUGGAACAAUUAUUGAUUUUUUUGAUAGAAUUAUUGUAAAACUUGUACUCAAAUUUAGAUGUGGGAUAAUGGAAGUAUUGUUUUUAUGUUGUUAAUUAUAGUGUUAUAUAUAUAUAUAUUGUAACCUUCCAUAUAUUAGAAUUUACAUAUACUAGAUUUACCAAUACAUCUAUAUAUAUGUAUACAUGUUCCAAUCAUAAUGACAUUUUCCUUGAAUUAUCAUUAGUGGUUAAUUGUCCAUAGAUGAAUUAUUUACAUUUUGGUUUUACUAUCAUCAUCAUUAUUAUUACUAAUAGUAAUCAACAUUGAAGGAGUGAACAAAUGAAUAAAUCACUAUAGUAAUAAAUAGCUUGUAUAUAUCAUUUUUAUAUCUAACUAUUAUAUAUGUAUUACAUAUAUAUAUUUAGUAAAAGAAUUUAACGAAGAGCUAGGUAUAUCUGUCUUUGCCUAUCUUCAAACUAUAUAGAGAGAAAGAAAGAGAAUGUUGUGGGUCAGAACCUCAUGACUCUCUUUCCGUAUUAAUAACUUUUAAUAUAACGAUUUCUUCUAAACUAUAGAGGGUUUUAAUCGAAAUUCGUAGUAUUUCUAGUACUAUAUGAAUUGAAUGGUCUAUUUGUAUACACCAAAAAUAGACUCUUUUUAGUGUUUAAAAGUAUUAUCUCAUUAUGGAAUCAUCAUAUUUGACAAGAAAAAUAGAAAGAGACACUAAAGAUUAAUCUUAAUUUUGUAGCACAUUCAUUGUAUUGUAUCAUACUUCAUAGUCUUAGGAGGGUCUCCUGUCUGUGAAAAGCAAUAAAGCAUAAGAGAAAAUUGAAAAAAUAUCAUCAUUAUUUUGUUGGAUAAUUACUCUCAGGGGCGGAGUCAGAAUUUCUGCUGAGGAGAUUCAAAAUCUCAAGAAAAACUCAUCAAAGGGGGUUCAAUAUCUACAAUAUAUAUAUAUAUAUAUAUAUAAAAUCAUUCUAAUCAUGUAUUAAUAGUAUAAUUUUCUGUUGAAAGGGGUUCAGAUGAACCUCCUAUUACUAGGCUGGCUUCGCCUCCAAUUACUCCCAUCUUGAACUUUCAUAGUGAUCAACUACGACAUGUCCUAAAAGGAGCACUCAGUAGUAUGAUAUUGUCUGGUUUGAGUCAAGCUAAAGUAAGUAAAUCUAUUUGUAAAUGGGCAACUGCUCUAAGUCGAACUCGGUCAUUGAUCACUCCUCCAUCUCUAUAUUUGUCUCGCUGAACCAUUGACUUCGAUACCAACCUCGUUCUUAGGCUAAAAUAAUUCAAAAAUAAUAUUUAACAUAAUGUAAUAUUUUCAGUUAUGAGUCAAGCUCAAGCCCACAUAUAUAUUAGGAGCUUCAGAACAUUAAAAGUAUCGUUACAUCUUAUAUAUAGUUUUAUUUUAAAAUUUUGAUCAUCAAUAUAAGAUUUUGUUCAGAUAAUGAUGGAACCACCUCCUAUAAACAUUAAGAAAACAUUAAUAAUAUAUAAGAGAGUUGUUAUAUAAUCUUUGGAAUAGUAGAAACCAAUGUUUAAUACUAUAUUGAAUUUGACUUUCUCAUCAUUAUAUUUCCCUUUGACUGUUUAAUCAAGAACAAUAAGAUCCACAUGAAUAUGACCAAUCAUUUUUUUUUAUUCUUUUUUUUUUUUUUGCAAAAACUCUUAGCUGCCGGCUCUUACAAUUUAGUAGAAUUAUUUAAAUGAAAACAAAAAAUUUGAAUUAAAUAAAUUGCAUACAAGUCAAUUAAAUAAUUUCUCAUUGAAGAUGACGACAGCCAAACAUUAAUUUUACAUACUCCUAUUCCAUCAAUAUUGUGACACAUGGGGCAAUCAACUAGAAUUUAUUAAAAAAACUUGCAAACUAUUCAUUAAAUAAUAUGAAAAUUAAUUAAAAUUAACUAUUCCCACCAAUAAUGUUAGAUAUGCAAAUUACUUAACGACUUCUUCCUACCUAAUUAAAGUACAGGUAUUAUACAUGUAAUUAUCAAAAGAUAGUGUCAAAUGAUAGAAAACAAAGUAGAUGGAUUAAAUUAAUUAAUGUAACUAUUUAUCACAAAAUUUUUGAGUAAUUAAUAUAACUAUCACUUUCAUGUCAUAGCUAAUUACAGGUAAGAAGACAAUCAAGAAAAUAAAACAUUCAAAUCCUUCUUAGCUCACCCCAAAGAUUUGCUCAUAUAUAUAUAUAUUAGUCGACGGUGUAUGUUUAUUUAUUGAUUGAUAUUGUGUAAAUAUCGAAUACAAGUAAAUUUUUUUAUCGUUUAACAUUCUUUAGUCAGGACUGCUCAACCAAAUUGAUGAUACCCUAAAAUCAAAUUAUAUUAAGGUGCAUCUUUAAUUUAUAUUUCAUAAAAUCCAUAUUAAUGAGACGUAAAAAGAACAUGAUUUCUCAUAUAUGGAUCAACCAACUCAGCGUAACUGAUUUAAAAUUAAAAUGUGAAAUCAACAGAAACAUGAACAUAAAAGAAUAUACAUAAUGGAGUAAAAAUUACUAGAAUUUAAGAUGUAGGUAAAUGUAAAAACCUUAACCAAAUAAAAAAAAAAGUUAAAAUUUGGAAUCUUUAUCAAUAACAUAAAUUAUUAUAUGCUAUAUACAAUACUAUAAUAUAAUAUACUCUCUCUCUCUAUUUGAAUUUGGUUGUUCUAAUGGCUAUUUGAAUAGUCAAUUUUUUUUAAAUCAUAUUGCUUUCAAUAUUUUCUACAUAUUUUUGAACGAUUAAUUAUUGCAACUUAUAUUACUAUUUAUGUAAAUGUGUAAAUUUUAUUUUUUAAAAAAUAAAAAAGAUUUAUGCAUAAAUUCACACUAAACAUUAGUCAGAUUGAUCCUCGUAGUCUUACCCUUUAGCCGCCUAUGCACAAUUUUUUAAUAGCAUAAUUUUUCAAACAAAUUAAAGACUUUUUCAAUUGUAGAAAACCAAACAAGUCAGAGCGGUUGUCAGUGCGGUUCUUUCACUUUCACUAGCACACGAGCUUCAAACAUAUGAUAGUUUUCAUAUUUAAAUAGUCUUAUGGAUAAAUAAAAUAUGUCCAACCAAACAAUUAAAACAUUAUUUUAUUAAAGAAUAGUACAAUCAAACUGUAAUUAUAAUAUAUGAAAUGAAAUAUACAUAGUACGAAUGAAAUUAAUAAAAUAUGUAGUCCAAUAAGAUUAAUUAGGUUGGAUUAUAUGUGGAACCAAAAGUCAAACUGAGAAUCUGAGUUUUUAUUAUAUUUUCUUUAGGGAAGGUAUCAUAUAAUUCCUAUAUGAAAGGAACUUAUAACCAAACUCCCCAUAAUAAUCGGAUGAAAACAACAAUUUUUUCUUCAUAUCCUAGUAAGCAAUUCAUGCGUCUCUUUCUAAACUUUUAUUUUCAAAUUUAUAGAAUUAAAUGUACGGGUCGGGUAGAAUUCAGUAGCUUUGAAAAAAAAUUAUAUAUGCGUUAAAAAAUUCACUAAAUAUCAAUAACAUAUCCAGCAUAAUGCAAGUGGGGUUCACCACUAUUUCGUAUAAAUAGAGAGAUUGUUUCUAAAGACCCUCACUAAAUAUGUACAAAAAUUAAAAUAAGAAUUGAGUUACUAAUACUAGAGAUCAUUGUUCUAAAAUCAAGAGCUCAUAAAGUUCAAAUUCUAGCUAGGUUGAAUCUGUGCUCACAAUAUGGCAUCUGUGAACCUAACAUUAGUGUUGGAGUAUAUAUUUGAUUAUUUGACAUUUUUAGGUAACUCAAACAUAUUCGUUUGAAAAUGUGAUACUUGCAAAGAAAAUGUGUUAUAGCCAAUUUAUUUAAGCCAAGUUGGAAGAAGUUAUUAUUUUUAAGAGAAAAUGAUUGUUUGAGGUCCUCACCAAAAAUUAUAAUCAUGUCUAUGUUAACAGUAGAUAGGAAUAAAUUUGAUAAGUAUUCAUAAUUCUUUAACAGAAAUACAGAAUAUUAGAACACAAAAAUUCUUUAUUGGUUUGUAUACUAUGCUUCUCUCUUAAUCUUAUUAACCAUAAAGUUUUAAUUCUUUAAUUCUAGUAUACAAAUAUAUAUAAAUAUAUUCCCUCUCUUUCUGUUAAAAGUACAUCACGAAUGAUCUGACAUUAUGCUAAAACAAUUCUAGUACAAGUUGUUGCCUAGCCAAUAGAUGUUCAUGACAUUUAAAGUUAAUGAGCUUGUUCAAUUAACCACUAAUUCUGCCUUAUUAGCAAACAUUAUAAGUUAUUUAAUAGGGACAAAAAUUCAAGACAAUACUUUAUGACGGACAAAAAUGCAACACCAGACAUUUGGGAGGAAAAAAAUCAAAACUGAACACUUUGAUGAACACUAGACAUAAUUUAUGUAAUCUAAACAGAAAACCGUGGGCUAACACCCAUCAAUUUGGUCCGAAAACGACCCGUUUGUGUUGUUUCGCUCGUUUGACCACCCAAAUGGCCUCGCCGAUGCCUCCGGCCCACCCAACAGCAUGCAUGGGGGCCUCCGAUCAAUUUUCGGCCGAAAACACACCCAGCCCCAGACACACCCUGAAAACCGUGGGCUAACACCCACCGAUUUGGCCCGAAAAUGAGCCGUUCGCGUCGUUUCGCCCGUUUGACCACCCAAACGGCCCCGCCGGCCCACCCCUCUGGGAUUGGAUCCGUUCUUCUACGGACGCUUGUAAAAAUAAGUUGAUCGAUGCUGAGAAAAGAGUAUUGCGCAUUCAAUUUAAUGAUCGCGGGGGAAAUUGCUGGAUGGAUACGAUUUCCAUGAGGUUUACUUGAGAAUUGAUCAGCUAUUGAUUGUUCCACAUAUAAUUAUUAAUUGCUACUAUUUGCCCUAUAUUUUUCACUCCAAAUGUCUUACUGUUGUUCAUUUAACAAAUUGUGGACUUGAUAAUGAAAUUCUAUCCAAGUUUAUUGGUAAGUGCCCUUAUAUUAGAGAAUUGAGUUUGGUGAAAUGCUGGGGGAUAGACUUUGCUGCCAUGUGACCAGGAGGAGGUCAAGGGUGACUCUGAAAUUGAUAUUGUCGUAAUGUAGUGAGUGAGUUGAACAUUUACAAGCAACAACUAAAAGGAAAAACCUGAAAGAUGAUGCACUGAGUUAUUCUUAACGAAGAGGUUCAAGCCUGAACAUCUCCUUUUGAAUGCUUGCUGUGUUAACAAAAGCAAUGCAGUUAGCUACAUUAUUAUUACCAAACUUCAACUCCUUGCAUAAUGGCUAAAAAAUUAAAAUUUCUUCUAAUACAUUUCAAAUACUACAGCUUUUGUCCAACAGCAUUUUACACUACUCUAAAGCCACAUUCAUUGACGGCAUAUUUCUUGUAUGGACAAUGUUCAGCAACAAAGGCAGGCUGGACGAAGCAAUACAUGUUAGUUUGGAAGAGUGAAACUGCCAGCCCUGAAAAGCAAUUUGGAUGCUUCCCUCUCAGAUAAAUUCUUUAAUAUGAAUUACUAAAACAAUUUCAAUAGGAGUAGCAUGCACAUAAAGGAACAUGGCAUACAUCGGCAGUGGGUCUGAAUCUGAUAUGCAUGCUACCCUUGGAAAAAAUUAGACGCAUAUAGAAACUAUUUAUAGUAGAUGACACAUCCCUUGCUGUUGCUGCCUAUAUAUAUAUAUAUAGUCCUGGUCCCAAUGAAUGGCAUUUCUGCAAGUUGAGUCCCACGGAUCCAAACAGACAACCAGUGAAAACGGUAUUUACUAAUUGGUAACGCGUGAAUAAACACAGUAAAACCACAGAUGGCAUAUAAGAAAAAGGGAAAGCAACAAUUGUUUUAACAAUUAAGUAAAACUGAGAAACUGAUGAUCAGAAGAGUUCCUCUACGUUUCUACAUGAAAUGCUAAGAUCAGGAAUAAAAAGUAACCAAAAGAAACUCGUUAAAUUGUCCCCUUAAACAGCAAGGAGUUUUACUCGUAAAGCAUGCAAUCGUCAUUCUAGAUAGCAUUAAUAAAGUUAUGACACCAAAAAAGAAACUUCCUUCAGCGAGUGAUCUGGAGCCACUAGCUACACCUAAAAAAAUGCGACAGAUUCAGUCCAACUCUGACAAAGGAUUCUGCGUUGGAUAUAAGUUCACAGCUUAAUCAGUGCACUUGCUCUUAAAAAACAAAGAAAUUUUAUCAAAGAUCAUAAUCGUUUCUACAAGAAACACCAUUGCAUCUGCCAGAAAUCGAAGAUGAUUUAGUUUUGAAACAACAUACCAUAAUAUCUUGUGCCCGACCUCUUCAGAUCUGAAAAAUAAACUCACAUUGUAACAACAGCAACAACAGCACACCCAGUAUCUUCCCACAAAGUGGGUCUGGGUAAGGUAGAGCGUACGCAGUCCGUACCACUACCUCAUAGGUGAGUAGACAAACUCGCAUUGUAACAUAUCAACAAAUUUGUGCAAUCCAUCCUACCUUAUAGAUGCAGCAGAUAUUAUGUCAUCACACCUAUCGGCAAUUGCAGCGUAGAAGCCACGGAAAUUCAACCUAGUAAAAUUUGAGCUUCAGAGGAAAGAGAACAAUUUCCGAUAACUCAUAUAUACUGUCAUAUAUAACUGUGCAUACCAGCUUCGAGUAUCAUUUUUCAAAUUUUUUGAGCCUGUAUUAUAACAGAUUCUGUUGUGCAUGGAAUUCUACCUCCAGUAGAACUACUUUAUCAUAAUUGCUUUCACCCAAACUCUUCACUCAUGCUUCUAUAUUAUCAUUAUAGUACAAUACUUUCUCUGUUCUACAUUUCUGAGUCCUUAGACGAAGAUAGUUUGAAAGAGUGAAAAUAAUGCAAAUAAAGAAGAGAACUUUACACUAUGAAUCAAAAAUGAAAAUAUGUGGGGAGAACGGAACUUCCCAUCCCAGAAAAGAAAUAAAAAUACAAAGUUGGUAAAGACAGAACAUAUGCAAAGAACACAAAGACAACAUACAGAAUAGAUGACAUGAUGCAGUUACGAGAGAAAUGGAUCAAGAUAGGAACCGAAGAAACAGAACAUAUUUGUUUAUAUUCCAUAAGUAUAUUUCUCUCAUUACAGCAAAAAUAUGAAACUCAAAUCUCCUAUACUCUCACAGGAUCAGUCAAAGAAACGUAAAGAAACUUUCUCUGCAAUAGUUUUUCUUAUUACAUAAAUCGACAUAAUAAUUUGAUCUAACCGGUUAGAUCUUCAAUAGUUGAAAACAUGCAAGUCCAACAGGUUUUUAUAAUACCCCUUCUCUAUCUCUUCUUCUUCCACCUGAUGAAGGAGAAGGGUCUCAAUAAUAAAGUCCUCCCAAUCAACAUCAACUUGCUUCUUCCUUCUCCUUUUCUUUCCAGCAUUUGCAUGUUCGACGGGGCAUAGUUCAAUCUUAUCAGUUGCACCAGCAUUGGAAGGAUACAUUGUCUUAUGGAUUCGAAAUUUUGCAGCCUUUAUCCUCUCUUUUCUCCUUUCAUAUGCCAAGCAACCACCAUCAUAAGAAGGAGGCAUAGCACUCAAGCCCACAUCUUUCUCCACUAUAUCCUUCACUAAAAGUUUUUUGCUCAUUUCUGAUUCGCCCUUCCACCAUUCUACGUAUGGAAGUACGUCGUACCUUCUCUUCCUUUUCCUAGUGUUAUUAUUUCUGUUGUUCUUAGACUCCACUACAUACAUUUCAUUCUUAAUCCUCGAAUAAAUCAUUGCCAAACACUCUUGUGACAUUUGGAAUUUAUUUGCACUUUCAAUACUCAACCUUGAUGCACGAUCCAUCUGAAAGUAUUGUGACUCAUUUUCGGUGUCAGCAACAUCUAAAUUAUAAUCAGUGUCGAUGCUUAAACAAUCAUCAAUCAAGUAAUCCAAAUCAAACCCCGCGUCCUCAAAACACUUCCUUUUAUCGCUCUUCUUUGCCAUUGACUUCAACUCCAUGUAUUGAAUAACAAACGUCACAUGCUUCAUAAUAUUCUUAACCGUAACAUCCUGACCCCAAGGCAAACCUCGAGCAACCUUCACGAGCCUCUCUAAAAGCUCCUUAUACCUCAACCUACAAGUAACAACCGCCACUUGUAACUCAUUUGCCACAUCCUCAAUCUUCACCUCAAUUUGAUUCAACUGCGAAACAAACACCAAAACCGCUGCCACAACAGGCAACGGUCUCCUCCCCGUUGUCACGUACCACUUAACCAAACACUGCACCAAAAACACACCUUGCUUCAACAUCUUCCCAAUCACAUCCUGAUCAACCCCACUAAAACUCGGAGCAUUCCUAAGAUAAUACUCAAACGAAUCCACAAUGUCGAAUCCAGGCAACUUCAAAUCAAGAAAAUCAACAACCCUAUAAACCAUUCUACCCAAUUCAUAAAUAUCACACCCCACUACAUUAGCUACCUUAACGAUGGCCAACGGCUUUACAUCUAGCCUCAUUACAACAUACGCACACGCACCAAUCAACACCGUAAACCAUCUCCCCACCCCAUAUUCUCCUUCAGUAAUUUUCACUACCAUAGCCUUUACUUCUUCAGAUUUCUUAGGAGAAAAUCCUAAUUGAUACAUUAACACUUCAAUCUCUUUCUGGGCUUCGUAGAUUUUAGUUUCUUUGUAAUUAUAAAGGGUUCCAGUACCAGAAGUUCCAGCGCGAAUGUAUGUUCCAGCUGGGCCAGAAAUUCCACCAAUUUGAGGAUUGUAAUUAUCGAAUUCUUGAAUAACUCCACAUGAUGUGCAGACGGCAUGACCUGUAUCUAAAUCUGAACCGAUAGUUCGCUUUCCACAACUGUUGCAGGCACGAUAAUUGUCCAUUCAAAAUCAGCAAUGGUGGAUUUUCACCCUGCGUAGAGGAGAAGGAUGUCAGUGGAGGUUUUUCAAUUUGGCUAGGGAUUUUGAAAUUGGGGGGAAAAGGGGAUUGGGCUUUUAAGGGGACCCGAUUUGAAUAAUUGGGCUUUUAAGCGGAAAUGUUCGGAUGGCCGAGGUGUGAGUGCCUAUUGAUGGUUUCAGUUAAAAUAAUUGGACUUUUAAGAGGUUAUAUUCGGAUUGCCUAGUGCGGAGGUUUGAUGCGUUAGUUAUGGAUAUGGAUGGUUUCGAGAGUGAUAGGGGUAGAUUGAAGAAUUUAAUAAAAAAAAAAAAAAAAAAAAAAAAAAAGAGGUAAUUAGACAGGACAGAGCGUAGUCUCGGUUUUUUGAGGACAUGAUCUUGCAGGGGCGAAGCUACAGUAUUAUAGGGGGGUUCGGGUGAACCAGUAGCUUUCGCGUAGACCUUAUAUUUGUAUUAAAAACUCAAGAAAAUAGAUAUAUAAGUAAUGCUUGUGAAAUCAUAUUAAUGAAAAACCAAGUGGCCGAGUGGUAAGUGUACGUCAACCCUCGAUCGCAGAGAUAGUGUGUUCAAAACUUACUAGCAAAACAUUGCAUUUUUUCAUAUUUUAAGUUUCAGAACCCAAAAUCUUCAAAUCCUAGUUCCUCCUCUGUGAUCUUGUAUACGAGGUUGUGGAGGUCUACAUUCGACUUUUGAUAUUACUCUUAUCUUGUCCGUUGACUAUGAUUAUUGUGUUGUUGUGGUUAGUGUCUUGUUCUUAUUUGCUAAUUCUUGUACUAUGUUACUUCAUUUUAUAGACCAUUUUGGACAUUUUUUUUCUCUUGAGCCAAGGUCUACCGGAGAUUGUCUUUCUAUCCGAGGUAUAGGUAAAAUCUGCGUACACUUGACCCUUCUUAGACUCCACUUUACGAGAUUAUAUAUAUUGUGUGUUGUUGUUUUUGGGUUUUUAAGAAGAGGCCCAUGUUUACAUGAUUGGGCUUUAAGAAUAGGCCCACGUCUAUUAUAGCAUGGGCUUCAAAACAACAAAAAAAAUAUCUAACAACGUCGAUUAUGGAGCUCCGGCGACAGCAAUAGCCUAAGGCUAAGCUCCUUCUUCAGCAAGGAGAAGUUUGGAUAACUGAGCUUCAAAGUUGCCACUUCUUUGUUCAUCAAUGGAGUUGUUGUUAAGUUUGCCAGUGAAAGCUCAGUUUUUUGGCGCCAAAAUUUGUUACAAUUCCCCAAGCUAUUCAAUUUCAGUAAAAUUAUACCAUAAAGUGUCUCGAGCUCAAAUUUCAGCACGUGGAAUUAGGGUUCGUUCUGAAUUUGACCAAAAAAUCAAUGGCGCUUUCUCUCCUGAUUCUGACGCUCGCUUUCUAGACCGGGUAUACAUCUCUCUCUCUCUAUAUAUAUAUAUGUGUGUGUGUGUGUGUGUGCGCGCGCGCGCGUGUAUAUAUGUUUGGUAUUGUGAAGGGGAGCCUUGACACUAACUGGUAAAGUUGAUGUCAUGUGUCUCGGAGGUUACAGGUUCUAGCUGUGUAAACAGUCUCUUACUUGUAAAAGUUAAUGUCGUGUGACCUGGCUCUAGCUGUGGAAACAGUCUCUUACUGAUAAAGUUGAUGUCAUGUGAUCUGGAGGUACAUGCUUGAGUUGGGGAAACAGUCUCUUACUGGUAAAGUUGAUGUCAUGACCUGGAGUAAAGUUGAUGUCAUGUGACCUGGAGGUUACAGGCUCGAGCUGUGGAAACAGUCUCUUACUGGUAAAGUUGAUGUCAUGUGACCGUUGAUGUCAUGUGGCCUGGAGGUCAUAGGUUCGAGCUGUGGACCACAGUCUCUUACUGGUAAAGUUGAUGUCAUGUGACCUGAGGUUACAGGUUCGAGCUGUGGAAACAGUCUCUUGCAGAGAUGCAGGGUAAGGCGGCUUAUAAAUAGACCAUUGUGGUUAACACCUAGCCAGGAGGACUGUGCAUAGCGGGAGUUUGAGUGAACCGGGCUGUUCUUUUAGCAUUCUGGAUAUUGUGAACAGGAGCUAAAGUUGUCGUCAUGUGACCUGGAGGUCUAUGGGUUCAAGCCAUGGAAACAAUCUCUUGCAGAAAUGCAGGGUAAGGCUGGUUCGUCUGUUCCCUGGACCUGCGUGUACUGUGUAGCUGGAGGUUUAGUGCACCAAACUGGCCAUUUAGCAUUUUGGGUAUUGUCUCGUGUGUAUGUAUAUUUUUAUGCAUUUUCUACUUUGCUGUAAGUAUUGGUCUGCUAAUCCUGAAAGAAAGGGGAAAGAUGCCAUUUUUAUCAAUUUCCGUAAACAAUCCCUGUCUCAUAGCUGUCUGUUCAUUCUUAUGAAAAUGAAAAUUUGGGAAAGAUAGAUAAUUGCUUCUUCUUCAUUAUUUCUGUAUGUUGCUUCACUGAAGAUUUCCAUAUAACUGACUUUACUUCAGCAAAAAGCAUUGGAAGCUGCAAUGAACGAUAUAAACAGCUCGUUUGGCAAAGGAAGUGUUACUAGAUUGGGUAGUGCUGGCGGAGCUCUGGUGUAUGUAAUUUUUCCUUAAUGCCUUAAACCCCCACCCCUCACCCAAAUAAAAGGAACGAAGUUAAAAACAAGUAUCAACUUUCCGCACAACAUACCAAAACAAGCAUGAAAAUCUUUCGGAGAAAAAAAUUUGCACAAAGUUUUGAACCUUGUUAGACUACAGAGUUUUACUAGUGAAUCUGUUGGGUUUUUAUAGGCUCUCUUAGUAAAUUGUCUUAGAAAGAUUUAGUAGUCUCUCUAUGGAGAUAUAUCAGUCUUACUACAUUUGUGUAUCUGCAGUGAAACUUUUCCGAGUGGCUGCUUGACGCUAGACUUUGCUUUAGGUGGUGGCCUUCCCAAAGGCAGAAUUGUUGAGGUUUAAAUUUUAUAUUUUUCAUCUCUAUUUUCAAUAUGCCGUAUUUAUUACUUGUUAUUUGCCAUCUAUUUGGUUUCAAAAGUGUGGCUGCUUAAGCAGAGGUGUUAAUUACUAAUUGUUGGUUUUGAUUGCAUAUCAGUGGAGUAAUCCUACAUGAAGAUGCAUAGGAUAGUUAAAGUGAUGAGUUAAUAGAGCGAUUUUGUUAGAAAUCAGUACACUGGGGUAUUAGAUUCUGGUGUUUGUUCACAUCCUGAAUUCUCAACUGAUAUGUUGCUGCAAGUUGUUAUCUGAUUGCUUUCCUCACAUUUGUCUUUACAGAUAUAUGGGCCCGAAAGUAGUGGAAAGACUACCUUAGCUCUCCAUGCUAUUGCAGAAGUGCAGGUGCAGUGUGUUUUAGUUUAUUGUAUCCUUCAGUUUGGAACUUCUAUAGGCAUAGGAGUGCAUUUGGAAGGGAGGGGGGAAUUGAUAAUUUAGAUGAAAAACGGAAGUCAUAUGCUUCCAUCUAUAGAUGAAUUGGGGAGAAAAUAAUGAAAAUUUGGAAAGGUAGAAAGCAAACUUAGAACCCUUCCAAGAUCCAUUGGAACUAUAUUAUUGUGACCAAUCCACUUACCUUAGGCUUCAUACGUAAAAAUGUUCUUAUGUAAAGUGAGACAGAUUAUAAGUUGUUAAUGUUUGAUAUGCAGAAGCUAGGAGGCAAUGCGAUGCUUGUUGAUGCUGAGCAUGCUUUUGAUCCUGCAUACUCCAAAUCACUUGGAGUAGAUGUAGAGAAUUUGAUUGUCUGCCAGCCUGAUAAUGGGGAGAUGGCUCUAGAAAGUAACACACCUUUCCCUUGUGUACACCAUUAGAAAUGAUUUUGUGUUUUCUGUGCUAGUAACUUUGUCGGUGAUCAUGCUAACUAGAGUUUGUACUGAACCAAACUUUUGGUUGUCUCAGUCGCAGACCGAAUGUGUAGAUCAGGUGCUGUAGAUCUUAUUUGUAUUGAUUCAGUCUCAGCCCUCACUCCACGAGCUGAAAUUGAGGUAAGCCAACAUUUUAAUUUUCUGAAUAUUUUGAAAGCUUUGAAUUAUUCUACCAGUUCCUGAUUUCAUGGUCUCUUAUUUUGUGCAGGGAGAAAUUGGGAUGCAGCAAAUGGGUUUACAAGCACGCCUGAUGAGUCAAGCUUUACGUAAAAUGUCAGGCAAUGCUUCCAAAGCUGGAUGUACUCUUAUAUUCCUCAAUCAGAUAAGAUACAAGGUAUUCUUGACUCGGAAAUUGCUGCAUGCUCUUUUUAAGUACCGAAGAUGAUGGAUAAUCUUGUCAAAAUAAACUGGCAUUCUUGCUUCCAUAAGUGUGAUUAACUUCAUGUACUAGCAUAAUUCUCAUCAUAACUUGUGGACUUUCUGAAUUGAAGUAAUCUCUUUGCUUCGAAUCAGAUUGGUGUUUAUUACGGAAAUCCUGAGGUAACAAGUGGAGGGAUUGCCUUAAAGUUUUUCGCCUCCGUUCGACUUGAGAUCCGUCCUACAGGGAAAAUAAAAUCUGUAAGUCCAAAACUGCUCAGUCAGCUAAUAGGUUUUCAAUUUUCACUCAUUUAAAUUUCUUUAUGAAAAAACUGUUACUCAUUCUUUCAGGCAAAAGGAGAUGAGGAAGUGGGCCUUAAAGUCCGGGUGAGAGUUCAAAAGAGUAAGGUAAAACGGCUUCAUUUAAUAAUUAUUCAAUGUGGUGACAUCAGUAUUAUGUUUAUGGGAAUGGAAAACAUAUGGUGAUGGUUCCGUUUUAGUGCUUAAACUGUAAAGCUGACAUUUGCAUAAUAAAGGUUAUCCUGAUUUUGGAUUUCCUACUUUGGAAGCAUGGUGGUUCCGCCGUAUGAUUAUUGUAAAUUGGUGUAUAUUGUCAAAUACUUAGGUAGCUACUUUAGUAGUCCAUCCUCACAGAGAUCUGUUUUAGCAAUGACCUCUAUUUAUUUUUAAACCUCUUUUAGCAAAUACGAGAACAUGAAAGAAAUUGCCUUGCAUCUUCCUGCUUAUUGUGGUGCCAAUAUUCUAAUUAGCGUUCCUUAUCAAAAAUGAAAAAAUAUACUAAUUGGUCUUGUUCUUUUCCUUAGGUUUCUAGACCAUACAAGCAAGCAGAGUUUGAAAUUAUCUUUGGAGAAGGAGUGAGCAAGCUGGUUAGUGGCAUUAUCGUUCUUUUCCUUUGUGUUGCUUCAAAUUCUGCUCCUGAAAUUUACUUUUUGCAGGGUUGCGUAUUAGAUUGUGCUGAACUGAUUGAAGUGGUGUCUAAGAAGGGUUCAUGGUAUAACUAUGGAGAGCAUAGGUUAGUACAUUUUGCAGUUUUUUGCUAAAAUAUAGGGACUCCCAAGAGGCUUACUAAACUGUUAAUUUAUGAAACUCCAUAUAAUUUUUGUCAUGACCGCUCAAGAGUCUGGGAAUUUUCUCUAUGCCGUACUAGAAGUGUCAAAGCUUACACCCAAAUGAAAAGAAAACAGCUUAGGAGAAUUUUAUAUGCGUCAUACUUUAUGUGGUUGCUGAAGGAAAUAAUUAAUGAUAAGAAUAAGCAAGAAAUUGACUUUAGAUGUGAUUCAAAACUGUCUUAACUAAGAUCAGUCUAAGAUUUGUCUUAUUACAUCAGUGAGCUGAAUCUUGCAAUUGGUUCAUUACUAAUAUUAUGUGACUCGGCACUUCUUCUUGAUGUUUUACUUUAUUACUAAUCAUGUGUGAGUCAACACUUAUUGAUGCUUUAAUGAAGGCUGGGACAGGGACGAGAGAAAGCACUGCAAUAUUUGAGAGAAAAUCCUCUUAUCUCUGAAGAAAUAGAAAAGGUACCAUACCCUCUUUAGUAGUUGCAUUUCAUAAGAAUUUUAGUUGUCAUUUUGUAUAGGAUAAAAGUUCAAUCUCUGAACAUAAACUAGGAGGUGUUAAACGGAUAAAUAACCUGAUUAUAUUUGAUAUGUUCAUUAACUGAUCUGUUCUGGUAUCGUGAGCUUGUAGGUUAUUGUUUUAGAUGGAAGACAGAUGGAAACUACGACCAUUUAUGUGGUCAUAGUACCCAUACGCGAAGAUAUAUUUUUAUACAUUCUAGUUAUUAGCUUGACGUAAUGGGAGAUUUCUUUUACACUGUUAAUCAAUAUUAUGGAGGCGGCGGAAUGACAUUAUUUAUCUGCCUCUGCAGAUGGUUAGGUCAUCCGUGCUAGAGGCAGCGGGGUUUGGAGGCUCCUCUUCAUUGAAACAUCAACUGCCACAGCUUCUGGAGGAAGAUGCACUUCAAGAGAUGCAAUAACAUGAAUCAGAUUUCUGCUUUUACUGAUUAUGACUACAGAGCAUUUCACAACCAACAUUGACAUCCAUCUGAUUCUCUACAUAAGACAUGAACAAAAUUGAAAGUAUCGUUACGAGAUUGCUUUGUAUGAGACCAUUACUGUACUCUAUAGAGUGUUGAAGAAAGAUGUAUAUUCUUGUACAUUAAUACAUCUUGGCUGCAGGGGUGGCUCAAGAAAAAUGAAGUUUUUUGCUUGUAUCAUUGAAUUCAUCGACAUUUGCCUUGAAAGUAAAUAUCUCAGUGUUGCAUUGAUAUUAUUAUUUCAGUAAGGUAUCGUGAUUGUAAGCAGGGGCGGAUCUUGACUUCUGUCCACUGUAACUGUUUAUAUGUAAUCUUGGAUUCCCCUAUUGUAUGUUGUAUCUCAAUUAGACUUAAAAGGAUAUAAGAUUACAAGAACCUUAAAACAAGUGUAAUAUUAUCCACAGCAAUUACAGAUUAAUCCAGAUACCAUGAAAUAUUUUUGAAGUAUUCUUGAAAAGAUACAUAAUUCGAGCUGGAAUACAACUUAAAAGUAGUACAGUACAAGGAUUACAUUCUACUGUGCCAAAGCACUUGUGUUGUAGACGAGAAGAGCACCUCCUGCAAGA
rnacentral:lncRNA from 1 species